CACCAUUACCACCAUUAAUUACAAUCAUAAUCAGUUGUUGGCAACAUCAUCACUACAUCGCCAAAUUCACCAAUGUCAUCACCAUAAUAACCAUCAUCUUUACAAUCCCUCUUAUCAUUACGACCAUAGUUGGAACAACCACCACCAUUUUUACAAGUGUUGGACACUAGGGGAGGCAACCCUGAACCACCACCCCCCACCCCCCCUUGAAAGUCUGAAUGAUAGCUGAAUAACUGUGUAGCAUAGCUGUGACAAUAAUGUCAUCCAUGGAAACAUUGAUAGACUGAAAAAUAAGCUAUUGCAUGAAAUUUAAGUCAAAAUAUUUUAAAGAACGAACAUUUCUAGCUAGAAAAAGUGGUCAUUAGGUCAUAUGUUGCAAUAACUCCCCUCUGACCCCCCAAUAUUUGUGCCACUGAUUAUGACCAUUUUUAUCACUGCUAUUAUUCUCGUCAUCUAUUGACUGUUGAAAAUUUUGUAAACUGUCGCUGCUCAAUUAUCCCUGAGGGCAGCCGAUAUGAGCUUUGGGAAACACUAGAUGAAAUCCUACAUUUCAUAUAUUUAUUAAACCUUUUGAAAACCGCCGUCUAGACGUUGUUAAUCUAAUCCAAGUUUCCGCGAAAUCUUAAGAAUCGUGUUCCAUAGAUAAAUCAUCAAAAUAUCGUUUGUACUCGAGCAUCUGGUACCUUUCAAAUAAAUCUCUGCAUGUCCUUCACUGUUUGUGUUUUAACUUUUCAAGUGAGUCAUUGAACCCUUUUCAUGAAAAGUUGAACAUAUCUAUCCAAAACCAUGAAAAUCUGAAAUAUAAUUACAUUUCCUAAUACACAGCUUAGUUCUUUAAAAACACAACCAAGGAUAUCCUUCAUGUGAAAUACGAUUGGUUUAUAGUAACCAUAUUUCAUCCUUUGAAAUAACAAAACCAACGGACAAAAGAACAUCGACUCAAUCAUUUAAUCAGAUAAUGUUUUGCGUGGGUUCUGAGUUG